rnacentral:rRNA from 1 species
CUCCUCUUGUUUAAGUUUUGAGGUAGGGCCUGCCCGCUGAGUUUUACUUGAAGGGCCGCGGUAUACUGACCGUGCAAAGGUAGCAUAGUCAUUAGUCUUUUAAUUGUAGGCUGGUAUGAAUGGUUUGACGAGAUGCAAUCUGUCUUGGGUUGAAUUAUUUAUUGAACUUGGGUUUUAGGUAAAAAUACCUAAAUUUUUUUAUGGGACGAGAAGACCCUAUAGAGUUUUAUUUGAUCUUGACUUAUUUUGUUAGUUUUGUUUUAUAGUUGGGUUUUAAUUUUGCUGGGGCGGUAUGAAGAUUUAUUUAACUCUUCUUUUUAUUUGUAUAUAGAUUAAUAUUUUUUUGAUCCUUUAUUAUUGAUUUUAAGACUAAAUUACC